rnacentral:lncRNA from 1 species
AGUUUGGGAUCCACAGUCUACAAAAUCCCACAGCUCCUAAGAAUUCUCUCACCUGCCUUCUGCCCUUAAGCUCCGGUAGAUUGCAAAUAACCUGCUUUCUUUCUGUUCCCGAGCUGCCUUCGGACCCGUCGGAUCGUAAAUCCCACGUAAGGUACCUGCCGUCGGAAGAUUUGAACUUUCUACUUGGACACCUAAUACCCACAGUCCUCCAGCUGCGUUCGGACCCGUCGGAUCGUAAAUCCCACGUAAGGUCGGAAGAUUUGAACUUUCUACUUGGACACCUAACACCCACAGUCCUCCAGCUGCGUUCGGACCCGUCUGAUCGUAAAUCCCAUGUAAGGUACCUGCCGUCGGAAGAUUUGAACGUUCUACUUGGACACCUAAAACCCACAGUCCUCCAGACAGAAAGACAACAGGUACAAAGCCCUAAGGAUUAUAAAGGUAUGCUGCUUACCAUCAUCUUAGUGACCAAGGCAGCGAAGCUGUUUCUGUACCUUGGAACAGUCUUCCCUGACAAGCCAGAGAACAGUGAUAAAGCCACCAGCCUUGGGAUCAGGACUGAAAAGGCAAGAGUGAUGGAGAUUUCUCCUGCGCUAAGCCAAGAGAAGGUUUCAGCACUUCAGACAGCUCCCACCGAAGUAGCCGCGCUCCCAGCUGCUUGCAGAUGUUGAAAAGGAAAGCCUCGGUUUGUCUUGAGGUUGUCAGCAGGUGCAAGACACGUAAUAAAAUGCAAUGUGUUCCUAA